GCCGCGUGUGAAUUCUUUCAAGGCAAGGGGCGGCCUGAUUUCGACAUUGUUGUUUCACUCUGAUCCGGUCGAGGUGGUUUUCGUUUACCAGCGCGUAGGUGGUCUAAGUUCCUAUGACCGAGUCUUUCUGGCCCCUGUGAACAUCUUUUCUUAAUGUAUUAAAGAGGGCCUCUCUAACCGGUGAAAAGUAGUGGGUGUCCACUAACGGCCGUUCCCGGCUCGGCUCCGAUAACGAAAUUCCGGGAGGAGUCGGUAGUUGGGCACUGGAUCCCUUCGGACCUGGAGAACGUGUGACGCUGGGUAGGGGUUUGGUGAACCAACUGGUCGCUCCUCUAGUUGAAGUAUCGGGCCCCUUUUCGUUGCCUAGGUUACACCUUCGGAAUACCCCAGAAGGGAAUUUAUCUCUACUUCCCUAAAUCUUCACUUGAUGCCACGCCGACUCUCCUUUCGUCAUAAGGCGUGGAAUUAGACCAAGGGGAAUCUCCAUAGAAACAGGUCCCUCUGAUUUCGCGCGUAGGAGAUCGAGACACAGCCCAAGGGCUAUGGAGAAAGAUGUAGAUCGAUCGCCCUAGAUAGACAACUACAUAGAGGGUCUUUACAAGUCUAUAUAUUCUUUGAUUUCGUUCCCCC